CAGGGAUACAAUGAAGGGGAUCAUCUGAGUGCUGCUCUUUCUGCGCCUGCUCUCUACACAGUUAAGGAUCCAGUCUGCUCAUUUGUGCAAAGACACUCUGGAGACUGUGCCAAGCAGCAAGGAACCAGACCUGAACAAUGUUUAGGGCACUCCUGAGCACACUCUGAGGUCAAGGUAGAAGAUAUAAGUACAUUUAACCUCUUCCUCCCCUGCAGCCCUGUCAAGUAUUCCUAGUGCAUAGAGGGCACAGGUUUUUCAGAUAAACAAGAUACAAGAGUGUACCUAUCCUACAUGUAGAUGGGCGUUGUGGAAGCCCCACCAUCAUGGGUUCAUUAUAAUUAAUUAUAACAGCCUCACAAUCCACAGAACUGUG